GACGAACGCUGGCGGCGUGCCUAAUACGUGCAAGUAGAACGCUGAAGGAGGAGCUUGCUUCUCUGGAUGAGUUGCGAACGGGUGAGUAACGCGUAGGUAACCUGCCUGGUAGCGGGGGAUAACUAUUGGAAACGAUAGCUAAUACCGCAUAAGAGUAGAUGUUGCAUGACAUUUGCUUAAAAGGUGCAAUUGCAUCACUACCAGAUGGACCUGCGUUGUAUUAGCUAGUUGGUGGGGUAACGGCUUACCAAGGCGACGAUACAUAGCCGACCUGAGAGGGUGAUCGGCCACACUGGGACUGAGACACGGCCCAGACUCCUACGGGAGGCAGCAGUAGGGAAUCUUCGGCAAUGGACGGAAGUCUGACCGAGCAACGCCGCGUGAGUGAAGAAGGUUUUCGGAUCGUAAAGCUCUGUUGUAAGAGAAGAACGAGUGUGAGAGUGGAAAGUUCACACUGUGACGGUAUCUUACCAGAAAGGGACGGCUAACUACGUG
rnacentral:rRNA from 1 species